GUGCCUAUAGCAUAAUGGUUAGUGCGCCGGGUUGUGGUCCCGGUAAUGAGAGUUCGAUUCUCUCUAGGCACC
rnacentral:tRNA from 1 species